CUUUUCAUUUAGGUGUGCAGAGUUUUAUCUCAAAAUACCUCGAUUCUCUAGACCUAAAAUUUUAGAUAGUUCUUCCACUUGAUGAAGUUGAAACUUGAUAUACAAUAGAGCAAUUUUUUAUCAAUUAGCUGAGCAUAAAAUUAAUUCAGAAGAUCUGCAACCUCAAGAGAAUUAGUUUUGAAAAGGACACUUAAUUACGUGAAGAACACUUUGAGUGCCAGUCGAGCAACUCUGAGUUGGAGGGCCACUGCAUUGACUUACCAUUGUUAGUACUUGAAUUUCAAAAAAUCAUCAUCAAAUACUGGAGUUUUACGUUUAAAUUUCAUGAACCUGACCCCAAUUCCGUAUGAACUCGGUAUGAGGUUCACUGAUGCAGAUUGGUAAAUUUGUAGUCAUCAGCACCUUUAACGGAAACUAAAUGCCAAAGGGCAAAGACUUCAGCAAAUAGACCAAGGACUUGUAGUCAUCAGACCCUUGAGUCAUCAAUGGAUCGUUCGAACUUCUUUGUGCACAAACUCCGCGGCGAAAACAAAACAAGCGUAGCAUUCGGGCUAGACUGAUUGAUGAAGUUUACCGUGAGCCAUCAACCUGUGGAAUGUGCCUGGAAAUUUGGAAAUCCCAUCCUAACAAUUUCAACAAAGUGCACAUGCAGGCAAUCCCGAACGUCUUCUAUAUAAACCGGUAAUAUCAUGCUUGCUUCUUCACAUCCAGCUUGCCAAUCACUACUUGAAACAAAGCCAUUGUCGACACAGAGCGCCUUCUCAUCACCGCAAUGGCUUUUGAAAGAAACCUUUUGAUUGUUACCAUACUCAUCACCUUGGGGACCUUGGCAUCUGAAGCCACGUCCCGCACAUUGUACCAAGCUUCCAUUGCUGCAAAACAUGAGCAGUGGAUGAAAAAGCAUGGACGCGUUUACCAGGACAGCGCGGAGAAGGAAAGGCGUUUCCAGAUAUUCAAAAACAAUGUGGAGUUUGUCGAGAAAUUCAACAGUGAAGGGAACAUGACUUACAGCCUUUGCGUCAACCGAUUUUCGGAUAUGAGCUAUGACGAAUUCCUCAGGUAUUAUACUGGAUACAAGCAGCCCACUGAAUCAACCUCAUCCGCAGAUGCAUCAUUUACGUACGAAAACCUAAGCCCGACGGAUGUUCCCCCAAGCAUUGACUGGAGGGACAAUGGAGCUGUUACUCCAGUAAAAGAUCAAGGGCGCUGUGGUAAGAGCACCAACCACCAUAUUAAUAUGGGGCUAAGUACAUAUAUAUGUAUUGCAUUAAUUACUUUCUUCUUGCAUUCAUUCCUACGGAAAUUAAUUCAUAUCCGUUUGUUCAAAUACAUGCAGGUUGUUGCUGGGCAUUUUCUGCAGUGGCAGCAGUCGAAGGGAUUACCCAAAUCAAAACUGGCAAAUUGAUCUCACUAUCUGAGCAACAGCUUGUGAGCUGUGAUACAGAUAACAACAGGGGCUGCCAAGGUGGUUGGAUGGUUAAUGCCUUUGCAUACAUUCAACAAAACGGAGGAAUUGCCAGUGAAGAAAAUUACCCAUACCAGAGUUUAGAUGGCAGUGAAGGAACAUGUGAUAUGAACAAGGCAAAUGAGGCUGCUGCCCGGAUAACUAGUUAUGCAGAGGUACCUCCCAACAGUGAAACCGAUCUACUCAAGGCUGUGUCCAUGCAACCAGUCUCCGUUGCCAUCAAUAUGUCACCAGCCUUUCAGCAUUAUUCAGGCGGGGUGUUCACCGGUGAUGAUUGUGGGACAUCAUUGGACCACGCUGUUACCGUCAUUGGGUAUGGGACAACUGAUGAUGGCACCCCCUAUUGGUUAAUCAAGAAUUCAUGGUCCGAUACGUGGGGUGAGAAUGGCUACAUGAAGAUUCUUAGAAACGCUGAAGCCCCAGGUGGUGUUUGUAGCCUCGCUACGAAAGCUUCCUAUCCGACUAUUUAAUGUAUUAAUGAAAGGGUGGAGUGAGCUUCUCCACUUUGCCUAUAGGUUAUAAGUACUACAGACAAAAACCAUAGGCUGUGAAAAUGCCUGUAUUUUGUAUUUGCUAAAAGUAUGGUUUAUGAAAUUACACUAUUUUUGUUGUGCUAGGAUAACACCAAAACCAAUUGGAACCAACUCAAGCUAACCCACAUGAAAUUUAUCAAAUGAAAAUGCAAGAACAAAAUAUAAAAGACAUCAAGAUUUUAACGAGGUUCCUCAACAGUCAGUGUAACUGGAGUACGUCCUCGGAGCAGUAGGAGCUCACCCAAUAAUCCACUAUCAACCAAUUGGGAGUUUACAAAGUGUUGGCAAUCUCACAACCUAAAUAACCCAAUACACCCAAUAGCUCUCACACACCACAGAAACAAAUAGAGAAAGAAAUAUAAUGAAUAAUUUCUUCUCUAUACAUAUAGCUCAAAGCUAUUUCAACAACAACUACUUUGGUGGAUGAUUACUAACCAAAUGAAGCAUCAUCUUCUUCUUCUUUUUGGGCUCUCUGCAACUCUCUUUGCUCUCGGCAGCUCUCACUUCUCUCUUCAGAAAAAAAUGAGCCCCUUCUUCUUUUUUUUUUCUCUUCAUCCGAAGAAAACCAAUAAUUAUGGCUUUGAAAAAGCCACAAAACAAGGAAACAUAAUCAUGAUGCCUCCUCAUCAUGAUGUUCCCUCAUCAUUAUGUCCUUCAAUCUUUUGUUUUGUUUACUAGCCGAAAGUGAAUGCCAAGUUGGCCACUAAUUUGGCCAUUAUCCAACAAUCUCCACCUUGGCCAAAUUCCGAAAACACCAUUAUAAGCCAACCAACACAAAAACACUCCCAAACACUACCAAGAGAACAACUCAUGCUGAGCCAAAUGCUCCAAAACUCCUACUGCUCAUCGCCUUCUUUAUAUAGGCAAAAUGUGAGCCAAGUUCAAGCAAUGAACAAACUUGGCUACACCAACAACCUUAGUCAACAUAUCAGUGGGGUUGUCUUUAGUUGGAAUCUUCUGGAGAAUGAUUUCUCCUUCACCAACAACUUCACGAACAAAGUGAUAACGCAUAUCUAUGUGCUUGGUCCUUGCAUGGUGAACAUGAUACUUAGCCAAAUAAAUGGCACUCUGACUAUCACAAUGCACCUGCACCUGCUUCUGAUCCACCCCCAAAUCUCUAAUUAGCCUAUGUAUCCAAAUGGCCUCCUUUAUAGCUACAGCAACUGCCAUAUAUUCAGCCUCUGUAGUAGACAAGGCAACAGACGACUGCAAAAUGGACCUCCAACAAACUGGCCCUUUAGCCAUAGUAAACACAUAGCCUGUAGUAGACUUCCUUCCAUCCAGAUCACCUGCAUAAUCUGAAUCAACAUAACCAACUGCAAAAUGACCAAUACCAGCGUCAUCCCUCUCAAAACAUAAACCAACAUCUUGAGUACCAUAGAGAUACCUCAAUAUCCACUUAGCUGCUUGCCAAUACUCUUUACCAGGAUUAUGCAUAUAUCGACUCACCAUGCCAACUGCAUGAGCAAUAUCCGGUCUAGAGCAUACCAUUGCAUACAUCAAACUACCAACCAAAUUUGCAUAUGGUAUAUUUUUCAUUUGCAGCUUCUCCUUAUCAGCUUUAGGACAUUGUAGAGAACUCAAUUUAAAAUGAGGAGCAAAGGGGUACUAACCGGUUUGGUUGAAUCAUGAACUCCAAACUUCUGAAUCAACUUCUCAAGGUAUUGUCUUUGAUUCAAGCAUACCAAACCUUUCUCUUUGUCUCUAGUGAUCUCCAUGCCAAGGAUCUUCUUUGCUUCACCAAGAUCCUUCAUCUCGAACUCAUUCUUCAUUUGCUUCUUCAAUUUCUCAAUCUCUUCGACAUUCUUUGAGGCAAUCAACAGAUCAUCAACAUAUAUCAACAAAUAAAUGAAAGACCCAUCUUGAAAAUUCUUGAAGUACACACAAUGAUCAUAUUGACUUCUAGAAUAAUUUUGGCCUUUCAUAAAUUUAUCAAACCUUAAAUACCAUUGCCUUGGAGAUUGCUUCAAGCCAUAAAGUGAUUUCUUCAAUUUGCAAAACAAAUUCUCCGUCCCUUUCACUGUAUACCCAUCCGGUUGACACAUAUAGAUCUCUUCAUUCAAAUCACCAUGUAAGAAAGCCAUCUUCACAUUAAGUUGCAAAGCUCAAGAUCAUACUGUGCAACAAGCGCUAACAUAAUGCGAAUUGAGGAGUGCUUCACAACUGGAGAAAAGAUUUCAUUGUAGUCAAUACCAUCAUUUUGUGCAUACCCUUUAGCAACUAAUCUUGCAUUGAAUCUCACAUUGCUUUUCUCAUCAGCAUCUUCCUUCUUGGCAUACACCCAUUUGCAAGUGAUAGCUUUCUUGCCCUUAGGCAAUUUAGCUAACUCCCAAGUCUUGUUCUUCAAGAGAGAAUUCAUCUCAUCACCCAUGGCAUUGCACCACCUCUCAUUCUCCUCACUCUCAAUGGCUUCCUCGAAAUUGGAUGGAAUAUCAUCAAUGAUAAUAGGAAGACCAAAAGCAACAUAGUCACUAUACUGGGCUGGCUUGGUAAUUUGUCUAUUUCCUCUGUUCUUGGCAAUAGGCUCUUGAGGUGAAACUUGCUCUUCAACUUGAAUAGAAUCUUCAAGUUCAACUUCUUCAACAUCCUCAUGGUCUCCAACUUCUUCACUUGUAGUGGCUUCGACAUCAGCAUAAAUAAGAUUUGAAGUACUAGAGACAACUUUCUCAAGCUCCACCUGUUGGACAUCUUUCACAUUCUUCUCAGAGUCCUUGUACAUACUUUCUUCAUCAAAUGUCACAUCUCUACUAAUUACAAGUUUCUUCAUCUCUGGGCACCACAACCGGUAACCUUUGACACCACUACAAAAACCAAGAAAGAUAGCCUUUUUGGCUAUAGGAUCAAGUUUAUUUUCAGUUACAUGAAAAUAAGCAGGUGAACCAAAAAUACGAAUAUGAUCAUAAUCAGAAGAGGGUUUUCCAGUCCAUACCUCCAUUGGUGUCUUACCCUGAAUAGCAGCUGAGGGUAACCGAUUGAUGAUGUGACAUGAGUAACUGCCUCUGCCCAAAACGACUUGCUCAAACUCGACUGAGACAACAUGCAUCUAACCUUCUCAAGCAAGGUUCGAUUCAAUCUUUCUGCAACUCCAUUUGUUGUGGAGUUCCCCAGACACUAAAAUGUCUCACAAUCCCUUCCUCUUUGCAAACUUUAAAGAAAGAGUCAGAUGUGUAUUCACCACCAUUAUCCGAUCUCAAAUCUUAAUCUUUCUCCCAGUUUGGUUUUCAACCAUUUUCUUUCAACCCAAGAAAAUGCUUAACACCUCACUCUUGUGCUUCAUAGUGUAGACCCAAGACCUUCUUGAAUAAUCAUCAACAAAAGUCACGAACCAAUGUCUACCACUCAAAGAGGGAGUCUUUGUAGGACCCCAAACAUCUGAAUGCACAUAAUCAAGAAUGCCCUUCAUCUGAUGUACCGCAGUACCAAACUUCACUCUAGUUUGCUUUCCUAAGACACAAUGCUCGCAUAAAUCAAGCUUACAAGUCGUGGCACAUUUUAGAAAACCUUGUUUCACAAGCCCUUGUAGAGCUUUCUCACCGGCAUGGCCUAAUCUCAUAUGCCACAGUCUAGUAGUAUCAGAAUCAUAUGUGCCCAUAUUUUCUGAGACUACAGAUGUUUCACCUGUCACAGUGCUUCCUUGCAAUAAAUACAAAUAGCCACAUCGAGGAGCUUUCAUCACAACAAGUGCACCAUAAGUAACUUUCAAUGUCUGUCCAUCUGAAUGAAACCUGAAGCCCUUGGAUUCCAAAGUACCCAAAGAAAUAAGAUUUUUCUUCAAAUUCGGUACAUACCGAACACCUGUCAACUCUUUAACCAUGCCAUCAUGCGACUUCAAACGAACUAUACCAAUCCCUUUUGUUGUGCAAGGAUUGUCAUCUCCUAUGAACACAACGCCACCAUCAAACUCUUUCAAGCUUGAAAACCAAUCCUUGUGAGGAGUCAUAUGAUGAGUACAACCCGUAUCCAACACCCACUUAGUAGCACAAUCAAAUGAUGAGGAAGUGGUUAAAGCAAAAUUAGAAAAAAUUUGUUUCAACCUCAGCAACAUUCAAUCAACCAUCAGCAGCCUUGCAGCUGCUUUCUGUUCCAUUCCAAGUGAAAGCCAAAAUAGUCGAUUUGAUACUUAUGAGUGGUUGGAGUAUAUAGCAAGAGAUGCUGCAUUUUGCCGUUAUUGCUAUAUUUUCAAAUGAAAACGGGAGAUGUUGGCAGUGAUGUCUUCACUGAAAAGGAUUUUUAAUGUAACUUGUUUGUAUUGAUAAAUUAUGGACGAUAUUACUAAAUUGAAAUGGUUGUUUCCUUUUUUUUAAACUUUGCACUCUUUUAAAUUCGCCCCUCCCCCUACUAAUUCUUGGCUUCGCCACUGAAUACUACAGAUGGCACCAAGUUCAGGAUAUUCAAGAAUGAAUGGGGUGAGAGCUAGGGCAAAAAUGGCUACAUUUGAAUUCUUAGAGAUGCUGGCCCUCCUAAAGGUCUGUGUGGCCUUGCUACAACGGCUUCCUACCCAAUUAUAGAUUGAUCGUGUCGGCUUCAAAGGCUACAAUUAAGUGCGUAAAUCUAAUUUUCUUCUCAAUAUUGAGAAAGCUCCGUUGAUAAAAAAGGGCUUGUAUUUUGUAUCUGAUUAGCAUAACUGAAGACGGCAUCGAGUUGUUUUGAAAAGAAUAUAAUUAAGUGUGUGGAUCUAAUUUUCUUUUCAUUUAGGUGUGCAGAGUUUUAUCUCAAAAUACCUCGAUUCUCUAGACUUAAAAUUUUAGAUAGUUUUUCCACUUGAUGAAGUUGAAACUUGAUAUACAUUAGAGCAAUUUUUAUCAAUUAGCUGAGCAUAAAAUUAAUACAGAAGAUCUGCAACCUCAAGAGAAUUAGUUUUGAAAAGCACACUAAAUUACAUGAAGAACACUUUGAGUGCCAGUCGAGCAACUCUGAGUUGGAGGGCCACUGCAUUGACUUACCAUUGUUAGUACUUGGAUUUCAAAAACAUCAUCAUCAAAUACUGGAGUUUUACGUUUAAAUUUCAUGAACCUGACCCCAAUUCCGUAUGAACACGGUAUGAGGUUCACACACCUUUAAUGGAAACUAAAGGCCAGAGGGCAAAGACUUCAGCAAAUAGACCAAGGACUUGUAGUCAUCAGACCCUUGAGUCAUCAAUGGAUCCUUCGAACUUCUUUGUGCACAAACUCCACGGCGAAAACAAAACAAGCGUAGCAUUCGGGCUAGACUGAUUGAUGAAGUUUACCGUGAAUCAUCAACCUGUGGAAUGUGCCUGGAAAUUUGGCUCCCUUCCAAAUUCCCAUCCUAACAAUUUCAACAAAGUGCACAUGCAGGCAAUCCCGAACGCCUUC
rnacentral:lncRNA from 1 species